CACGUAGGAGGCGAGCGUUGUCCGGAAUCAUUGGGCGUAAAGAGCGCGCAGGCGGCUUGGCAAGUCGGGUGUGAAAUCCCGGGGCUCAACUCCGGGACUGCAUUCGAUACUGUCAGGCUAGAGGUAGGUAGGGGAGAUCGGAAUUCCUGGUGUAGCGGUGAAAUGCGCAGAUAUCAGGAGGAACACCGGUGGCGAAGGCGGAUCUCUGGGCCAUUACUGACGCUGAGGAGCGAAAGCGUGGGGAGCGAACAGG
rnacentral:rRNA from 1 species